CAUUUUGCCUCCACUUCACACUUUAGUUGAGCCCAGGUACAGUUAACUUCAUUUCUAGCUCCACAAGAGUAUUUUUGUAGUGUUAUUCAACUGUGCAGUUAUUUUAGUCGGAUGCAGUUUUUCUUAAAAAACAGUGGGGUUAAGACUGUUUUUUUUUUUUUGUUAGCAUCUUCAUUUGUGAUUAUUUUGCUAGCAUCAUUUAAGGAGGCGCAUGCCCUGUGCUUUCAUCCCUUCCAACGUGAAACUCGAUUCCCUUUGACUUGACAGCUUCAAAUAAAAGACAAUGUCUGAUGAAAACUCCAGAUGGCGUCCGAUCGCCGACCAGGCGAAAACUACUGAACAGAUUUCCAUGAAACUUGGAUGGAGGACGUGUCUCGGCCCAGAAUAGACCCCGUUCACUUUCUGCUGCUGAUGAAGACAAAGGGACGGAGCCAUGAUUUUGGUCUGUUGGACCUUGUCGGAGAGUUGGGGCGUGGCACUCAGGCUGGCAUCAUGAUGGUGGUGGUGGUGGAAGGAGGGUGCAGGACGGGUGCAGCGUGAUGCGGUGGCACCCCGAUGCCCGUUGCGGUGGAGGUGACUCCCAAAUUUAGCCUGUUCGGUGCUGGAUGGGACUGUUUCCACCCCGCCGUGCCCGGUGCUGAUUUCCCCUGGACGUCCGCAACAACAUAUGGGACCCGGGGCAGCGGUCCAAAGAUAGAGCCUGCUCCCACUAUUGAUCUGAGAAAUCAGCGAUGGUGUGAUGGAGCCUACAGUAACAGAAAUGGUCAACGGAGUCCUGACUUAAAUAAAGGUGUUGUUUUGUGUAUCUCUAGCAUUUGAUAUUUUAAUAACUGUGAUAGAAGCAGAAGCUGAUAUUUUACUGAAUUAACGUGCACCUUUCCACGACAUCGUGAUUUUAUUUACACUCACCUGUGAGGUGUGAAAGGUGCUGCUGUGAACAGGCCCAGAUCCACUUUCACUGUGCCGGAGAGCAAAACUGAGCACCUCCAUCUAAAAAAAAUGAAUUUUUGGCCGAGGCCUUUUUGCUCCAUCCUUAACCGACCACGUGUAUUGUUGAAUGUACCCGGUAAUACGGUAAAUGGACUUCUGUAGCUGUUUUCCCCGUUUACCGAAUGCCCAAAGUGCUUCACAACACGUGUCAAAUUCACCCCUUCACACACACACACACACACACAUUCGUACGCUGGUGCCGACCUGCUCCUCAGAAGCGAUUUUGGGCGAGAGUCAAAGAAGGCAGAACAAAAGGUUAAGUGUCCAGUUUGACUCUGAUCUGUGCGCUCGGUCUCUGGCUUCACAGAGCUCGUUCUGAUUUGAGAUCAUUUGGUGUUUUGUUCAGUUUGUGUUACAUUAGUCAUCAGUGAGUGUGUCGAUGCUGCAGAGUGCCCAGAAAUGUUUCCUGAAAAACAUAAAUAGUAUGUCUCAGUCGCUGAGUGGCAGCUCCAACAUGAACAGAGUCCUGCUGAACGAUACGCAACAUCUCAUUAACGCUGUACAGAAAACCUUUUUUCUCCUGACUCCUUUUGUUGCACAUCGACAUGACACGGUUGUUGUGACCGGUCUGUUUGAGGCUCUUCAAAGUCCAGAGCUGCAUUAAUGUUUUUGUGAGAAUGUGAUAUUUU